AAUCGGCCAAGUGCGCCUGCGCAACACUUCCCGCCGCGGGCCACCCAGCCGCACAUGCGCACUACAAAGCCCUCGAGCAUGUGCCCUCUAGCAUAAAAGAAAAAAGAAGAGUGGAACAGAGAAAAUAGCAGGCUACUUCAUAUUUAAGAGAAACAGUGGUGGUUCUGACAUGAAUGAUGGCAGAAGAAAUAAAGGGGAGAAGACAAUGGAAUUUGGUGACUGGCUGUGGAAGAUGAGAAGAACAGUGUAAAUGGUGAAUCUUAGUUUUUAGGCUUUUCUUUCAUGGGCUUUAGGCAUCGUCCCAAGAAGACUUCAGAG